UGCGGUUCGGUGCGGAUCUUCCGC
rnacentral:siRNA from 1 species